rnacentral:lncRNA from 1 species
AUGGCGGCGAGCAGCGGCAGCACGGGCUCCACAGGCCCAGCGGGGCCGGUAUCGUUCGGCUUCAGCCGAAAAGCGGAGCGGAGGCGGCUGCUGGCGGCCGGGCCUUGCUCCGAACCGGAGAGCGACGGUGCGGACACCGAUUACCUCACAGCGGUGGAGGACCGCGAGUUACUGAGUGCCAAGCCGGCCCCGCCCCCUCCGAAGGACCUCGUGAUCCCCCUUCGCCCCUCCCACCGCUGGAGGAACCCGGAAGCGCCAAGCUCCGCCCCCUCUUCGCCGAACCACGCCCCCUCCGCCUCAAACCACGCCCCCGAUGCCACAGGCCACGCCCCCGAGGGGGACCCCGUCGCCUUGGAAACAGCAGCAGUGGAGGAGCUGCUGCGGGAGGCGCGGCAGAGCCGGGAGCAGGGCCAGGAGACCCCCAGUGCCGCCCCCAUCCCCAUGAGGAUGAAGGAGGAGAACGUGGGCAGCGGCGCUCUGCCCGUGAGUGGGGGGCACGGAACCCCCAACACCCCCCCCAAGACCCCCAGAACC